CUUCUUCUCCGUGAGAUAGUC
rnacentral:siRNA from 1 species